rnacentral:rRNA from 1 species
UCUUGCGCAAUGGGCGAAAGCCUGACGCAGCGACGCCGCGUGGGGGAAGAAGGCCUUCGGGUUGUAAACCUCUUUCAACAGGGACGAAGCCACUCGGGUUAAUAGCCCAGAGGGUGACGGUACCCGCAGAAGAAGGACCGGCCAACUACGUGCCAGCAGCCGCGGUAAUACGUAGGGUCCAAGCGUUGUCCGGAUUUAUUGGGCGUAAAGAGCUCGUAGGCGGUUUCGUAAGUCGGAUGUGAAAACUCAGGGCUCAACCCGGAGACGCCAUCUGAUACUGCGAUGACUGGAGUCUGGUAGGGGAACACGGAAUUCCUGGUGUAGCGGUGAAAUGCGCAGAUAUCAGGAGGAACACCGAUGGCGAAGGCAGUGUUCUGGGCCAGUACUGACGCUGAGGAGCGAAAGCGUGGGGAGCAAAC